rnacentral:lncRNA from 1 species
GUAUGGUCAGGCGGGAUCAUCUGCCAGCAGCAUAAGCCAGGCUCUAUGGAAUGUUGGGUGAGCUGCUUGAGGAACUCCAAGGCCUGUCCCACAGUCUUCCAGCCUCCGACUCUCCGGCCCUCAGCGAGGUCAGCAGUGAGCUACUUUUGGAUCUGUUGGGAUCCCUGAGCCCGUGGUCCAGGGAGAGAAGUCCCACUGGUUUUUUUGGUUGGUUUUUGCUUCCCUCCCUCCCAGUGCUGAUUUCCUGUGGACCAGAUUCCAGCACAGUGGAGGGCCAGAGCUCAGGGAACAGACCCAGCAGCACAGCAAGUCUCCAAGGAAAGCUCUAGCAGUCUCCAGGGGCUGAAGGCAGGACUGGGGAAGCGGCUAGCCAGGCUGCAGAAGGCAAAUGCUCCCAGACGGCUGUCCAGCACGCAUCCGCCUUCCUAGCCAAGUUUCCUGGGCUCCUGCCACAGAUCUAAGCCUCAUCCUGACAUCCUGCCCUCUGUGCUCUGGGAUGGCCCAGGGGAGAUGCUUAGCCUUGGCUCCUUGUCUGCUGGUGGAGGGACCAAAAAGAAGACCUGACGUCAUCCUGAGCACCCCCGCCAUGCAGAGUGUGUUCGCAGACUGCCAACGGGCUGGCUCCGGCCAGCAGAAGUGAACAGAGGUGGAGGUUCAGCCUGACAGCUUCUCCCCAAAGCCAUGGAGAGAAAACCUUACCACCCCCACCGCCCAGCUACUUCCAGCAAGUUGUCCAGCCUGACCCCUCUAUUUCCCCUGUUGUCUCUUAUCUGGGUCCCUGAGACCCACCCCAUCUCCAAUAAAGAACAUUGCAUACUGUGCAUCAGUGUUGCCUUGGGUGUGCCAGGCAGGGUCGGGGGCGUGCUGGGUUCUCCAUACUAGAACACCACUACUGAACAACAUAGUCACACCAGGCAGGGCUCCCUAAAGCCUACCUGCAUGGCCAGCGUGGUCCGAGGACAGUGUGCUCUCCCCACCCUGUCUGCUAGCCUCCAGCUUCAUGGGAACUCCAUUAAUCAUGGGAUUCCGAGAUCAUCAGAGCAAUAGGAUCACUCCGUCUCCAGGGGAGCACAAGGCAAGAGCCAG